rnacentral:rRNA from 1 species
AUUGAACGCUGGCGGCAGGCCUAACACAUGCAAGUCGAGCGGAGCGGCGGACGGGUGAGUAAUGCCUAGGAAUCUGCCUGGUAGUGGGGGAUAACGUCCGGAAACGGGCGCUAAUACCGCAUACUAUCAGAUGAGCCUAGGUCGGAUUAGCUAGUUGGUGGGGUAAAGGCCUACCAAGGCGACGAUCCGUAACUGGUCUGAGAGGAUGAUCAGUCACACUGGAACUGAGACACGGUCCAGACUCCUACGGGAGGCAGCAGUGGGGAAUAUCGGACGAUGGGCGAGAGCCUGAUACAGCCAUGCCGCGUGUGUGAAGAAGGUGUUCGGACUUUAAAGUACUUUAAGUUGGGAGGCGGUACCAACAGAAUAAGUAUCGGCUAACUUCGAGUCAGCAGCCGCGGUAAUAC